rnacentral:rRNA from 1 species
GGACGGGUGAGUUACACGUGGGUAACCUGCCUCAAGAGGAGGGGGAUAGCCUCCCCGAAAGGGAGAUUAAUCCCGCAUAACAUUAGUUUCUCGCAUGAGAGACUAAUUAGAGGAGUAAUCCGCUUUGAGAUGGACCCGCGGCGCAUUAGCUAGUUGGUGAGGUAACGGCUCACCAAGGCGACGAUGCGUAGCCGACCUGAGAGGGUGAUCGGCCACAUUGGAACUGAGACACGGUCCAGACUCCUACGGGAGGCAGCAGUGGGGAAUAUUGCACAACGGGCGAAAGCCUGAUGCAGCAACGCCGCGUGAGUGAUGAAGGUCUUCGGAUUGUAAAGCUCUGUCUUUUGGGACGAUAAUGACGGUACCAAAGGAGGAAGCCACGGCUAACUACGUGCCAGCAGCCGCGGUAAUACGUAGGUGGCGAGCGUUGUCCGGAUUUACUGGGCGUAAAGGAUGCGUAGGCGGAUGUUUAAGUGAGAUGUGAAAUUCCCGGGCUUAACUUGGGAGCUGCAUUUCAAACUGGAUAUCUAGAGUGCGGGAGAGGAGAAUGGAAUUCCUAGUGUAGCGGUGAAAUGCGUAUAGAUUAGGAAGAACACCAGUGGCGAAGGCGAUUCUCUGGACCGUAACUGACGCUGAGGCAUGAAAGCGUGGGUAGCAACCAGG